rnacentral:rRNA from 1 species
AAUGUGGUCAUCGGAAUUAGAAACCGAUGUCUAAAGGAUUUAUUCGCUUUGGGAGGGGCCUGCGUCCCAUCAGCUAGUUGGUAAGGUAACUGCUUACCAAGGCUUACGGGUAGCCGACCUGAGAGGGUGACCGGCCACACUGGGACUGAGACACUGCCCAGACUCCUACGGGAGGCUGCAGUCGAGAAUCAUUGUCAAUGUACGAAAGUAUGAACAUGCGACGCCGCGUGGAGGACGAAGGCCUUCGGGUUGUAAACUCCUGUCCUGAGGGAGUAAGUGCAGACGGGUUAAUACCCCGUUUGUUUGAUAGUACCUCAGAAGAAAGUCACGGCUAACUCUGUGCCAGCAGCCGCGGUAAUACAGAGGUGGCAAGUGUUGUUCGGAUUCACUGGGCGUAAAGGGUCCGCAGGCGGUCCUGUGUGUCGGAUGUGAAAGCUCACGGCUCAACCGUGGAAUUGCAUUCGAAACUGCAGGACUAGAGUACAGGAGGGGAGUAGGGAAUUCAUGGUGUAGCGGUGAAAUGCGUAGAUAUCAUGAAGAACACCGGUGGCGAAGGCGCUACUCUGGACUGAUACUGACGCUCAUGGACGAAAGCUGGGGGAGCGAAGAGGAUUAGAUACCCUCGUAGUCCCAGCCGUAAACGGUGUGCACUUGAUGUUGGAGGUUUACCCCCUUCAGUGUCGGAGCUAACGCGUUAAGUGCACCGCCUGGGAAGUACGGUCGCAAGAUUAAAACUCAAAGGAAUUGACGGGGGCCCGCACAAGCGGUGGAGCAUGUGGCUUAAUUCGAUGCAACGCGAA